rnacentral:rRNA from 1 species
GACGAGCCACACGAUCGUUAUUCGGAAGUACUGGGCUUAAAGGGUGCGUAGGCUGCGCGGAAAGUUGGGUGUGAAAUCCCUCGGCUCAACCGAGGAACUGCGCCCAAAACUGCCGUGCUCGAGGAAGAUAGAGGUAAGCGGAACUUACGGUGGAGCGGUGAAAUGCGUUGAUAUCGUAAGGAACACCUGUGGCGAAAGCGGCUUACUGGGUCUUUUCUGACGCUGAUGCACGAAAGCUAGGGGAGCAAACGGG